CCUACGGGUGGCAGCAGUCGAGCAUCUUUCACAAUGGGGGAAACCCUGAUGGUGCGACGCCGCGUGGGGGAAUGAAGGUGUUCGGAUUGUACACCCCUGUCAUGUGGGAGAAACUUAAAAAGAUAGUACCACAAGAGGAAGAGACGGCUAACUCUGUGACCGCAGCCGCGGUAAUACAGAGGUCUCCAGCGUUGUUCGGAAUCACUGGGCGUAAAGGGUGCGUCGGCUGGUUCGUUAGUCGUAGGUGAAUGGCGCGGGCUUAAACCGCGGACGGCACAAGAUACUGCGAGACUAGAGUAAGGGAGGGGGAACCGGAAUGCUCGGUGUAGCAGUGAAAUGCGUAGAUAGCGAGAGGAACACUCGUGGCGAAGGCGGGUUCCUGGACAUUAACUGACGCUGAGGCACGAAGGCCAGGGGAGCGAAAGGGAUUAGAUACCCGUGUAGUC
rnacentral:rRNA from 1 species